AACGAACGCUGGCGGCAGGCUUAACACAUGCAAGUCGAGCGCCCCGCAAGGGGAGCGGCAGACGGGUGAGUAACACGUGGGAACGUACCCUUUACUACGGAAUAACGCAGGGAAACUUGUGCUAAUACCGUAUGUGCCCUUUGGGGGAAAGAUUUAUCGGUAAAGGAUCGGCCCGCGUUGGAUUAGCUAGUUGGUGGGGUAAAGGCCUACCAAGGCGACGAUCCAUAGCUGGUCUGAGAGGAUGAUCAGCCACAUUGGGACUGAGACACGGCCCAAACUCCUACGGGAGGCAGCAGUGGGGAAUAUUGGACAAUGGGCGCAAGCCUGAUCCAGCCAUGCCGCGUGAGUGAUGAAGGCCUUAGGGUUGUAAAGCUCUUUCACCGGAGAAGAUAAUGACGGUAUCCGGAGAAGAAGCCCCGGCUAACUUCGUGCCAGCCGCCGCCGUAACAC
rnacentral:rRNA from 1 species